AUGGAUAGCUCCACAUCAGUGUCGAUUGGGAUAGCCGUGGCGUUUGGGAUCUUGGGAUUGUUCGUGCUGAUCUGUUUGGUGCAGCUCUGCAUCAAGAAAAUCAAAUGUUGCGAUUGCAAAAAGCCUUCGGUGAAAGACAAAAUUUUAAAGAAAGUUGGGAUUACAAAAUCUUCACCUCCGUUUUCAAUCAGCAGACUCGUUGACAAGAAAUAACGGCCAUCAAUGCUCAUAUGACAUUCUCUCAAUGUAAAUACAUAGUGUACAUACCCACCUUUUUUUAUUUUACAACACCUGUAACUAAAUAUUUCCAUAUUAUUAUGAAAUCUGUCGAUUAUUAUUUUUUAUUUCUGUGAAAAGUGUGAAUAACGUUUCUGAGGUAAAGAUGUCAGUGAUGUUAGGGAUGUUGAUGAGUCAUAACUGUUUAAGAUCAUUUUCCCACAGCUAGGGAAAAAACAGCACACCUUCAUUGCUCUAUGCGAUCGCUUCUCUUGUUGUUUUUCUUAUUCUCUGACAUUCUGUGAAUUUUGUCACUGUUUCAGUGUCACCACAGAAACAUAACACAGCCUUCUUCUCAAGCCAAACUGUUUCUAAGUAAAAAAUAAUGUCAAAGGUCACCAUAUGCACUGAUGAAAUAUUAGUCUCUUCAGUCGCAGUAGAAAGAUCACAAUAUCUUCAUUGCGAUUUAUAAGUCCUCUCUGGUGAUAUAUUUCCUGUUAAGCAACAUUAUGUAUGUGAUGAAAUAUUGAUCUUGACUCUAUAAUAAUAUCUGAUUGUAAUUUUUUUAAAGGAAUAUGUAGUCAUAUUUGGUCAGAUUUAUUAGUCUAGUAUAUUAUCCUCUGUACAUAUAUGUGUGUGUGUGUGUGUGUGUGUGUGUGUGCAUGUGUCUUCAAAUAUUAUCCUUUAUUAGUUGUUUAAUGUUAUUUUUCAGUUCAACUUUCCACUCAAAUUGUUUUGUUCAUAUUCUAUAAAAAAAAAUUCAAUUUAUAAAAUUAGAAGCAUUUUGGACCCCAUUGAACAUUUCUGUUGUGGUUCCUUUUCCUCUUUGUUCUUUGGUUAUCAUCGUUGUUUUUCAUUUGAUUCAGUUUAUGGCAGUGUCUCAUAGCAGCGCACUAAACCGCAAGCCAAACAGAG
ensembl:lncRNA